rnacentral:rRNA from 1 species
UACGUAGGGUGCAAGCGUUGUCCGGAAUUAUUGGGCGUAAAGAGCUCGUAGGCGGUUUGUCGCGUCUGCUGUGAAAACCCGAGGCUCAACCUCGGGCCUGCAGUGGGUACGGGCAGACUAGAGUGCGGUAGGGGAGAUUGGAAUUCCUGGUGUAGCGGUGGAAUGCGCAGAUAUCAGGAGGAACACCAAUGGCGAAGGCGAGUCCCUGGACAACACCUGACACUGAGGCACGAAAGCUAGGGGAGCAAACAGG